GAUAAACGCUGGCGGNGCACAUAAGACAUGCAAGUCGAACGGACUUAACCAUAAGUUACUUUUGGAGCGGUUAGUGGCGGACUGGUGAGUAACACGUAAGCAACCUGCCUAUCAGAGGGGAACAACAGUUAGAAAUGACUGCUAAUACCGCAUAUGCCAUAAUCACCACAUGGUGGUAGUGGGAAAGGAGCAAUCCGCUGAUAGAUGGGCUUGCGUCUGAUUAGAUAGUUGGUGGGGUAACGGCCUACCAAGUCGACGAUCAGUAGCCGGACUGAGAGGUUGAACGGCCACAUUGGGACUGAGAUACGGCCCAGACUCCUACGGGAGGCAGCAGUCGGGAAUAUUGCGCAAUGGAGGAAACUCUGACGCAGUGACGCCGCGUGCAGGAAGAAGGUUUCGGAUUGUAAACUGCUUUAGACAGGGAAGAUACAAGACAGUACCUGUAGAAUAAGCUCCGGCUAACUACGUG
rnacentral:rRNA from 1 species